CAGCCGCCACGGUAAUACGUAGAGUGCGAGCGUUAAUCGGAAUUACUGGGCGUAAAGCGUUCGCAGGCGGUUUUGUAAGACAGGCGUGAAAUCCCCGGGCUCAACCUGGGAAUGGCGCUUGUGACUGCAAAGCUAGAGUGCGGCAGAGGGGGAUGGAAUUCCGCGUGUAGCAGUGAAAUGCGUAGAUAUGCGGAGGAACACCGAUGGCGAAGGCAAUCCCCUGGGCCUGCACUGACGCUCAUGCACGAAAGCGUGGGGAGCAAACAGGAUUAGAUACCCCAGUAGUCCCUGUCUCUUAUAC
rnacentral:rRNA from 1 species